UACGUAGGGCGCAAGCGUUGUCCGGAAUUAUUGGGCGUAAAGGGCUCGUAGGUGGUUUGUUACGUCUGCUGUGAAAACCUAGGGCUUAACCCUGGGCCUGCAGUGGAUACGGGCAGACUAGAGGUAGGUAGGGGAGAAUGGAAUUCCCGGUGUAGCGGUGAAAUGCGCAGAUAUCGGGAGGAACACCGGUGGCGAAGGCGGUUCUCUGGGCCUUACCUGACACUGAGGAGCGAAAGCGUGGGGAGCGAACAGG
rnacentral:rRNA from 1 species